rnacentral:rRNA from 1 species
CAGUCGCCGCGGUAAUACGGAGGGUGCAAGCGUUAAUCGGAAUUACUGGGCGUAAAGCGCACGCAGGCGGUCUGACAAGUCAGAUGUGAAAUCCCCGGGCUUAACCUGGGAACUGCAUUUGAAACUGUCAGGCUGGAGUCUUGUAGAGGGGGGUAGAAUUCCAGGUGUAGCGGUGAAAUGCGUAGAGAUCUGGAGGAAUACCGGUGGCGAAGGCGGCCCCCUGGACAAAGACUGACGCUCAGGUGCGAAAGCGUGGGGAGCAAACAGGAUUAGAUACCCCGGUAGUCCCUGUCUCUUAUAU